rnacentral:rRNA from 1 species
UACGAAGGGUGCAAACGUUGCUCGGAAUUAUUGGGCGUAAAGCGCACGUAGGCGGCUUAGCAAGUCGGAUGUGAAAGCCCUCGGCUCAACCAAGGAAGUGCAUCCGAAACUGCUGAGCUUGAGUACUUAAGAGGAUCGCGGAAUUCCCGGUGUAGAGGUGAAAUUCGUAGAUAUCGGGAGGAACACCAGUGGCGAAGGGCGGCAUCCUGGACCGGCAUUGGACGCGUGAGGAAGCCGAAAG